rnacentral:rRNA from 1 species
CCCUUCACUCUGGGACAAGCCCUGGAAACGGGGUCUAAUACCGGAUAAUACUUCCUCUGCAUGGGAGGUUGAAAGCUCCGGCGGUGAAGGAUGAGCCCCGGCCUAUCAGCUUGUUGGUGGGUAAUGGCCUACCAAGGCGACGACGGUAGCCGGCCUGAGAGGCGACCGGCCACACUGGGACGAGACACGGCCCAACUCCUACGGGAGGAGCAGUGGGGAAUAUGCACAAUGGGCAAGCCUGAUGCAGCGACGCCGCGUGAGGGAGACGGCCUUCGGGUUGUAAACCUCUUUCAGCAGGAAGAAGCGCAAGUGACGUACCUGCAGAAGAAGCACCGGCUAAUACGUGCCAGCAGCCGCGGUAAUAGUAGGGUGCGAGCGUUGUCCGGAAUUAUUGGGCGUAAAGGCUCGUAGGCGGCUUGUCACGUCGGAUGGAAAGCCGGGCUUAACCCGGGUCUGCAUUCGAUACGGCAGGCUAGAGUGUGGUAGGAGAUCGGAAUUCCUGGUGUAGCGGUGAAAUGCGCAGAUAUCAGGAGGAACACCGGUGGCGAAGGCGGAUCUCUGGGCCAUUACUGACGCUGAGGAGCGAAAGCGUGGGGAGCGAACAGGAUUAGAUACCCUGGUAGUCCACGCCGUAAACGUUGGGAACUAGGUGUUGGCGACAUUCCACGUCGUCGGUGCCGCAGCUAACGCAUUAAGUUCCCCGCCUGGGGAGUACGGCCGCAAGGCUAAAACUCAAAGGAAUUGACGGGGGCCCGCACAAGCAGCGGAGCAUGUGGCUUAAUUCGACGCAACGCGAAGAACCUUACCAAGGCUUGACAUACACCGGAAACGGCCAGAGAUGGUCGCCCCCUUUGGUCGGUG